AACGAACGCUGGCGGCAGGCUUAACACAUGCAAGUCGAGCGCCCCGCAAGGGGAGCGGCAGACGGGUGAGUAACGCGUGGGAAACUACCCUUUGGUACGGAAUAACACAGAGAAAUUUGUGCUAAUACCGUAUGUGCCCUUCGGGGGAAAGAUUUAUCGCCAUAGGAUGUGCCCGCGUAGGAUUAGCUAGUUGGUGUGGUAAUGGCGCACCAAGGCGACGAUCCUUAGCUGGUCUGAGAGGAUGAUCAGCCACACUGGGACUGAGACACGGCCCAGACUCCUACGGGAGGCAGCAGUGGGGAAUAUUGGACAAUGGGCGCAAGCCUGAUCCAGCAAUGCCGCGUGCAGGAAGAAGGCCUUCGGGUUGUAAACUGCUUUUGUACGGAACGAAACGGUCUGGGUUAAUACCCUGGGCUAAUGACGGUACCGUAAGAAUAAGCACCGGCUAACUACGUG
rnacentral:rRNA from 1 species